GACGACGCUGCGGCGUGCUAACUACAUGCAAGUCGAACGGUGACGAGGAGGCUUGCUCCUCUGAUCAGUGGCGAACGGGUGAGUAACACGUGAGCAACCUGCCCCAGACUCUGGGAUAACAGUUGGAAACAGCUGCUAAUACCGGAUACGAGACGGAGAGGCAUCUCUACCGUCUGGAAAGUUUUUCGGUCUGGGAUGGACUCGCGGCCUAUCAGCUAGUUGGUGAGGUAAUGGGCUCACCAAGGCGACGACGGGUAGCCGGCCUGAGAGGGCGACCGGCCACACUGGGACUGAGACACGGCCCAGACUCCUACGGGAGGCAGCAGUGGGGAAUAUUGCACAAUGGGCGAAAGCCUGAUGCAGCGACGCCGCGUGAGGGAUGACGGCCUUCGGGUUGUAAACCUCUUUCAGCAGGGAAGAAGCGAAAGUGACGGUACCUGCAGAAGAAGCACCGGCUAACUACGUG
rnacentral:rRNA from 1 species